rnacentral:rRNA from 1 species
GAGCGGAUGACGGGAGCUUGCUCCUUGAUUCAGCGGCGGACGGGUGAGUAAUGCCUAGGAAUCUGCCUGGUAGUGGGGGACAACGUUUCGAAAGGAACGCUAAUACCGCAUACGUCCUACGGGAGAAAGCAGGGGACCUUCGGGCCUUGCGCUAUCAGAUGAGCCUAGGUCGGAUUAGCUAGUUGGUGGGGUAAUGGCUCACCAAGGCGACGAUCCGUAACUGGUCUGAGAGGAUGAUCAGUCACACUGGAACUGAGACACGGUCCAGACUCCUACGGGAGGCAGCAGUGGGGAAUAUUGGACAAUGGGCGAAAGCCUGAUCCAGCCAUGCCGCGUGUGUGAAGAAGGUCUUCGGAUUGUAAAGCACUUUAAGUUGGGAGGAAGGGCAGUAAGCUAAUACCUUGCUGUUUUGACGUUACCGACAGAAUAAGCACCGGCUAACUCUGUG